GUUUUUUUUCCCCCCAAAAUCCAUCAGAAAUUCGGGUUUUUUUUCCCCAAAAUCCUCCUGAAAUUUGAGUUUUUUUCCCCAAAAUCCUCCUGAAAUUUCGUUUUUAUUCACCAAAAAAACCUCCUAAAAUUUGGGGUUUUUUCCCCCAAAAACCUCCUGAAAUUUGGGGUUUUUUCCCCCAAAAUCCAUCAGAAAUUCCGGUUUUUUUUCCCCAAAAUCCAUCAGAAAUUCAGAUUUUUUUCCCCCAAAAAACCUCCUGAAAUUCAGGUUUUUUUCACCCAAAAUCCUCCUAAAAUUUGGGGUUUUUUAACCCAAAAUCCUCCUGAAAUUUGGGGUUUUUUUCCCCCAAAAUCCAUCAGAAAUUCAGGUUUUUUUCCCCCCAAAAACCUCCUGAAAUUUGGGGUUUUUUCCCCCAAAAUCCUCCUGAAAUUUCGUUUUUAUUCACCCAAAAAACCUCCUAAAAUUUGGGUUUUUUUCACCCAAAAUCCUCCUGAAAUUUGGGGUUUUUUUCACCCAAAAUUCUCCUGAAAUUUGGGGUUUUUUUCCCCAAAAUCCUCCUGAAAUUUCGUUUUUUUUUCACCCAAAAACCUCCUAAAAUUUUGGGGUUUUUUCCCCAAAAAACCUCCUGAAAUUUGGGGUUUUUUCACCCAAAAAACCUCCUGAAAUUCGUUUUUUAUUCACCCAAAAUCCUCCUGAAAUUCGGGGUUUUUUCCCCCAGAAUCAAUCAGAAAUUCGGUUUUUUUCCCCCAAAAUCCUCCUAAAAUUUGGGGUUUUUUCACCCAAAAUCCUCCUGAAAUUCGGUUUUUUUUCCCCCAAAAACCUCCUGAAAUUUGGUUUUUUUUCACCCAAAAUCAUCCUGAAAUUUGGGGGUUUUUUCCCCAAAAAACCUCCUAAAAUUUGGGUUUUUUUCCCCAAAAACCUCCUAAAAUUUGGGGUUUUUUUUCCCCCAAAAUCCUCCUGAAAUUUCGUUUUUUUUUCACCCAAAAUCCUCCUGAAAUUUGGGGUUUUUUUCCCCAAAAUCCAUCAGAAAUUCGGUUUUUUUCACCCAAACUCCUCCUAAAAUUUUGGUUUUUUUCACCCAAAAACCUCCUGAAAUUUGGGUUUUUUUCACCCAAAAUCCUCCUGAUAUUUGGGGUUUUUUUCCCCCAAAAUUUGGGUUUUUUUCCCCCAAAAUCCUUCAGAAAUUUGGGGUUUUUUCCCCCAAAACCACCAAAUCACCAUUAUUUUCCACACAUGCACCAUUUUAACCAAAAUUCACUUUUUUUCCUUUUUUUCCCCCAAUCCCACCCUAUAAAAAUUCCCAUUUUCACCUCAUUUUUCCACCAUUUUUCACCAAAAAACCACCUCGAAAUUUCAAUUUUCAGCCCCUAAAUUCCAUUUUUUUGGGGGGUUUUCCCCCACCCAGGAAAAAUGGGGGGAAAAUUCAAUUUUUAUUUUCAUUUUCUGCCUUUUUUUUGGGGUCAAAACCUCGAAUUUUGGGACUUACCACCGAAUUUAUUGAAGCCACCACGCUCACCACCGCUGAGGAGAUAAAUGGGAAGAUAAUCAGGAAUUUUGGAAGCCCUGCCUUAAAAACUGGGGACAAAAAAUCACAAUUUUUGACCUUUUUUUCGGCCAUUUUGGGGCUU
rnacentral:lncRNA from 1 species